GGCCAACAGCAAACUUCUACUCUAAUUCAGGAGGUGUGGGAAUAAGUAUCUUUGGAAGACCAGGCACUUUAUGCAGUGUUGAGCUCAGGAGGCAGUGAGUGUUAA
rnacentral:sRNA from 1 species